UUUGUAAGCUAUUGUUUAGACAAUAAUCUCAAUAAGUCUGAAGAAUUCAAUGUGCUGACAGCCGAGCGAUAUUACGAGAUUCAGAAUUUAACACCAUUUACAGAGUACAAGUUGAAGUUUACUAUAAACAAUUUUUACUUUGAUCAAUUAUCAAUAAAUCCAUUCAAUUCGAACGUGAUACCAAUAAAAACUAAUUUGGGCAAGCUUAAUGUACCAGAAAACAUAAAUGUUUUAGCUUUGACGCCUACUAUAGUAGUAGUUUAUUGGAUGCCACCCAAGAAAUUGAACUGCGUGGUUGUGACUUACGAAGUGCAUUGGAAGUCAGUGAACGACACGCAACAGCAGAAAUAAUUUAUCAAUGUGCCGAAACGUGUGGCAGAUGGCAGAUUUUUCACAAAGAUUAACUUGUCGCUACCAGUACAAGAUGACUUGAUAUACGUGCGUGUGUAUCCAAGUAAUUUCAGCGAUUUCUACAACGAGAGCAAGAUCGAUCACAUAUACUCAGAACCAAACAAUAUUACUUUGAGCGAAGUCAACACAAAUAGCAUGGACAUUUCAUGGAUCUCAAACGUCAAUCCUACGGUCUUUCUUACAUUAGAGUACAAAGAGGUUGCAACAGAAAAGUGGCAAACAACAAAUUAUGAUAAAAAAAAAUGAAUUAUAACAAAGAAGCAACUUAUCAUAUUGGAAAUUUACAAUCGGGAACUUUAUACAAGUUUCGCUUGAUAUUGAUGUAUUUCGAAUAUGAGGAAAUUUUUAUAUGGCCGGCUGAUGAAAGAUUUAUUUUUUCAACACUUAGCAACAGCAGUUUGAACAAGCCAACAUCUCUCAGAGCAUUUGUACAAUUCGAGAGUCAAUUCACAGAGUAAACGACAUUUUUGUAACAUUGAGAUGGAACCAAUCUGAAUUUACCGAUAAAGUAAUACAAGGAUACACGGUGCAAUGUUGUUUUAUCGACUUAAAAGAGAUUCAAAUCUGC